CCUAUAAAAGAUACAAACCUAGAAUAUUAAAUUUCAGCAUUCUUUACCUAUUUCCCACUAUAAGUUUUGCUAUAUUUAACUAAUACUAAUCAAUUCUCUAUAACUCACUUUUGAAACCUACUAGUCAGUCUUUUCUAAUAUUUAAAGAAAUGAGUAGGUAAAUCUUCUAAUUUCUUAUUACAGAAAAUUGACAAAAAAUAUGCCCAAUAAAUUUUCUUCAUUUCAUGAGCUAAAUCAAUUUUUCUUAAGAAGUAAAAUAAUCAUAACAUAGAAAAACAUCUCUGUACCUAGAAGUAUAAAAUUCUGCAUGCUUGAUUAAACUGAAGAAACUUUUACCUAUAGUUAGACAAAAGCUGGCUUAAUGUGUAUACUGAAACUAAUAUUCCUUGAAACUGCUUGCUUCAAGAGAUAUCAUUUCAGGAAAAGUGUCUUUCUUGUAUACACACACGAAGAAUCAGCAUUGCUGAUGAACUAUAUGUCAGGAAAAUAAACAUAUUAAACAUGUAUAACAAUAUAUUUCUAGAUUUACACAUACUUUCAAUUGAAGUUUACACAGUAUUUAUAUAAACUAAAAUGUCAUCCUGAAAGAGAAAAAAAAAAAACAUGUAAACACAUACCCUCUUUUACAUGCCUUCCAAAAAUGCACAAGAGGUAAGCAUUUAGUAACUAUGACAGAAGAAAGGGGGGAGGAGAGCUCCCAACUACAUCCAAACCAAAAAAAUAAAGAAAACAGGUAAAAUACAGUGAAAUCAUAAUACUUUUUAAAAUUGUGAUUUUUCCCUUUAUUGUAUUACUGUUUAGUAAAUAGUGUAAUUAAUAUUAUAAAGUUUUAUAUAGCAUCCAUCAUGCAUAACUUCCCUGUAUUUCUACUUUUCAUACAGUCAUUGAUACUCACUUUGACACACACAUGCACACAGGUAGACACAAAACAGAUUUUUAUAUACCCACAAAGUGGAACAGCUGGAUCAAAGAUGUAACAGAUAAGGUGUACAAAUUUCUCUCUCUGAGCGAUUUCAAAUUAUUUUCCUAUUUUUGACUUGUCAUUUAAUUUACUUUUAUUUGCCGUUUUUUGCUAAAAUGUUUUGCAUGUCUUAAAGUCUCCUUAGAUUCAAAUCUACUUGGAAAUGGGCUAGUGCCAAAGAAGCAAUCUAACACCAUCUAUGUGGUUCAAUAGCCAUUUAUCAAUUGAUCAUUAUCUCUAUCUGGUUUUAUUAACUCUUUUCUAGCUAGAGGGAGACCUAAACCAAUCUUCUUUCAAAACACACACACACACACACACACCCACACCCACACACACAAACACCCUCCACUAACUCAAGAAAACCCUGAAGGUGAUACAUAGUUUUUAAAGUGCAGCACAAGUCAUUAGGUACUAAGGUCAGUGAAAACACACCCUGUGUUCCAACCAUGAUGAGAGCCACCCAGGCAGGGCUAUGUCUCAAAAAUACACUUCUCAAAGCUCUCGGCAACACCAAGGAGUAUCUCUGGGAGGAAAUGAACUUUUUAACUUGCAAGAAUGGGAAAUUGCACAUAAAGAGUUGCUUAUUGGGUUUAUGUUGAUUGCAUUUAAAUCCCAGCUUACUGUAUCAGCAGUAAUCAGGGUCCCUCUACAGGAUAUGUCAAAAUACACCUUAUUCAAAUGCAUUUAUCUUAUCUAGAACUGUGUGGUACAACUGUUCGCUAGCUAAAUGCUAAAAAGCCCUAGCACUCUACAUUACCUUUUGCAGAUGUAUUUCUAAACUUGCGGUAGUCUCUACCCUGACAAAAUGUUUUAUUCCUUUCCUUACCAAGUUUAAAAAUCUAAUUAACUCCAAGUAUUUAAUUCUCAUGAACUCUUACAAACAAAACAGAUUUUUUAAAAAAAGAAAGCAGGUGCAGUGGUGGUGGGGGGGGUUGUUUUGUUUUUAAUGAGUGGAACAAUAUCCAUUUCCUAACAAUCUCCAUCUACUUAAAAUCCCAGUGUAUUUGUCAGUAAUACUUUCGUACUGUGCGGAGGAUAGUAUCAUACGAACUCUUGCUUUGUGUGGGUUUGGUGGAGGCUUUUGAAGCAAGACGUGUCUGGGAGGGAGGCACCAGGGAACUUCCCUCCCUCGCUUGAGCACAGUCCAAGAUGAAAGUUUCUGGGUUGUUUCCCUUCGCUUCCUCUCCCCCUCUCUCCCCCUCAGAGCCGCAGAGCCAGCAAUUGUGCAAGAGGAGCCAGGCGCGCGCGGGGCGCGUAGGUAUCACGGAGCGCAUGGUACGAGGCCGGCUCUGCUGAUUAAUGAGCGGUCGCCGGCGGCCUCGCGCGGACACGUCGGCUCUCCCUGCAGAGCCAGCGGCGGCGCAGCCGGCCCGAAGACCGCUCUGGGGAGGAUGCCGAGGCUGCGCCCGAGCGAGCCCUUAGGGAAACUGUGAAGUAACCCUGCACGUUCCAGUAACAGUUAUGACAAAACAGAGCCCAACUGCGAAGUGAUCAAAAUGUCAAAAAUCUUUAAAACGGAAAAUACCAGAGACAAAAGUACACAUAACAAUUCAAGAUUUCCUUUAAAGAAAAAAAAAAGAAAGAAAGAAAGUAA